GAUGAACGCUGGCGGCGUGCCUAACACAUGCAAGUCGAACGGAGUCCAGCCUUUAAGACCUUCGGGUCAAAGAGGGGAAGACUGAGUGGCGGACGGGUGAGUAACACGUGGGCAACCUGGCUCAUAGAGGGGGAUAACAGAGAGAAAUUUCUGCUAAUACCGCAUAAGCACACACUGCCGCAUGGCAGAGGGUGAAAAGAGAAUCGCUAUGAGAUGGACCCGCGUCUGAUUAGCCAGUUGGCAGGGUAAGAGCCUACCAAAGCGACGAUCAGUAGCCGAUCUGAGAGGAUGAACGGCAACAUUGGGACUGAGACACGGCCCAAACUCCUACGGGAGGCAGCAGUGGGGGAUAUUGCACAAUGGGGGGAACCCUGAUGCAGCGACGCCGCGUGAGUGAAGAAGUAUUUCGGUAUGUAAAGCUCUAUCAGCAGGGAAGAUAAUGACAGUACCUGAAUAAGAAGCCCCGGCUAACUACGUG
rnacentral:rRNA from 1 species